AAGUCGUAACAAGGUCUCCGUUGGUGAACCAGCGGAGGGAUCAUUGCUGGAACAAACGCCCUCACGGGUGCUACCCAGAAACCCUUUGUGAACUUUAUAACUUGUUGCCUCGGCAUUGGUUGGCUUCGAAUGAAGUCCCUUAUACCCUUCUGGGGCUGUAAGGAGCAGACCGGCCGACGGCCCCUAUAAACUCUUGUUUUUGUAAUAUCAUCUGAGUAACACAACUAAAAUGAAUCAAAA
rnacentral:misc_RNA from 1 species